rnacentral:rRNA from 1 species
GAUAGAGGGGGCAAGCGUUGCUCGGAAUUACUGGGCGUAAAGGGCGCGUAGGCGGGAUGGCAAGUCGGUCGUGAAAUCCCUCGGCUCAACUGAGGAUCGUCGAUCGAUACUGCCGUUCUUGAGGAUUGCAGAGGAGACUGGAAUUCCCGGUGUAGCGGUGAAAUGUGUAGAGAUCGGGAGGAACACCGGUGGCGAAGGCGGGUCUCUGGGCAAUUCCUGACGCUGAGGCGCGAAAGCGUGGGGAGCAAACGGG